rnacentral:rRNA from 1 species
ACGUAGGGUGCGAGCGUUAAUCGGAAUUACUGGGCGUAAAGCGUGCGCAGGCGGUUUUGUAAGUCAGAUGUGAAAGCCCCGGGCUCAACCUGGGAACUGCGUUUGAAACUACAAGGCUAGAGUGUAGCAGAGGGGGGUAGAAUUCCACGUGUAGCAGUGAAAUGCGUAGAGAUGUGGAGGAAUACCGAUGGCGAAGGCAGCCCCCUGGGUUAACACUGACGCUCAUGUACGAAAGCGUGGGGAGCAAACAGGAUUAGAUACCCUGGUAGUCCACGCCCUAAACGAUGUCAACUAGUUGUCGGGAGAGGAGACUUUCUUGGUAACGCAGCUAACGCGUGAAGUUGACCGCCUGGGGAGUACGGUCGCAAGAUUA